rnacentral:rRNA from 1 species
UACGGGGGGGGUAAGCGUUGUUCGGAAUUACUGGGCGUAAAGGGCUCGUAGGCGGCCAACUAAGUCAGACGUGAAAUCCCUCAGCUUAACUGGGGAACUGCGUCUGAUACUGGAUGGCUUGGAUCCGGAAGAGGGAUGCGGAAUUCCAGGUGUAGCGGUGAAAUGCGUAGAUAUCUGGAGGAAGACCAGUGGCGAAGGCGGGUCUCUGGACAGUUCCUGACACUGAGACACGAAGGCCAGGGGAGCAAACGGG